CCUAAUGAGCUUCAAGGAAGCUACUUGAGGUCUUAUUAGAGAUUAGGGUUUUUUUUUGAGGACAUUUGAGCUUUGGAGGCUAAGAUCAAUAAGUUUAUAUUUUAGGGCAUAGAUUGGAUACAAAUUUUGUGUAAUUUGGAGUUUUAAUGAAAGAAUUAUUGGUACUUAAAGUUAAAGUGUCAAUUUCAUAUUUGUUAUCAUUCUUUGAGACAUAAUAUAUGUUUAUAGAGAGCAAUGAAGGAUCGGUGUCAUGUUAUAAUUUAUUUAUAG
rnacentral:lncRNA from 1 species